CAGAAAAUGGAUGGAAGUCUAGGAGCUUCUAUGAAGGAUAAAGGAACUUUAGCCACUCAUUGAAGAUCUAUCAAUCAGAUCCUACUAUUCUGCAUCUUCCCCUAUCUCGGCUACCAACAACUCGGUCUAACACCAUCAUUGUCACCUCUCAUCUUUCUAGUGUGUACACACACCGUAUCCCCACUCUGGUCCAGUUACAGGUCCUGCAAACAGAGCAUCAGAAAAUGGAAGCUAAUGAGUCAUUCUGGAGUUACUGUGAGAUCCAUUGCCAGAAUUUAUAAAAUCAAUUCAUGUCCAUGAAACAGAAUCUCCUUGUGGAUUUUUCUCCUUGCUUCAAACUUCCUUCAGACAGUCUUUUAAGAGUAUCUUCAUUUUCUUGUUCAUCUUUCCUGGACUGGCCCUCUGCCACACUGGCACCUGAAAUGCAGCAAACAAUGUCGUUGGAUGCUGAAGG